rnacentral:lncRNA from 1 species
ACCUCUUGAAAUGAGUAACGUUGAAUCGGAAUGGCUUAUUAAGAUCUCUCAUCUUGACAUCCGUAGAUUUCUCAGUUGUUGCCAUGGAAUCUCCUUAAAAUUAUUGGAGAAAUUAUGAUAAAAUUACAAAUGAAGAAAAUAAAAAAAAAAUUCUUGGCUGAGAUGUGAAUAUCUCACUUUCUUUAAGAAGAUUCAUUCUCACUGCUGUAAAUAUUUUCAUUGGUCCAGUAGUAGUCUUCUUGACUUGUCUCCUCCAGGAUACAAUAGCCUUCUUACAAAGAACAACUUAACAAUUCUAACAAGAGUUGAGUUCAAAACUCCACAAAAAGAACAUCUCCAUUCAACUAAUAAACUCUCUUUUUACUAACUUUUGUGAACUCUAUAUUAUCUUGUGUACUCAAAAAAUGCAAAACCAGCUAUAUUUAUAGGAGAGCAAAUCUUCCUUGCAAUGAAUAAGGAGAAGUAAUAAAAGAUAAAUAUGAUAGAUAAAUGGCAUAGAAAUUACAAAAAUUAUAAAGAUUACAAGAGUUAGAAGAGAACUUAUUACCACAUUCUUUCACUAUUAACUAAUUAAAGUAAUGGAAGAAGAACAAAAAAUGACUUAGAAAGGUUGUUGCAUAUAACAGCAAGCAACAACGUCAAUAAUGUGGGAAAUAAAGUUAGAAAAUGUGGGUUCUCAAUGCAGCAAAAAUGUAACUUCUUAUCCAACAUUUACUUAAGAAAAGUAAUGCUCCAUGAUUAUUUAAUAAGUAAUACCACGUCCAUCCUUGUAAAGAUACUAAUUUGGAAUACAUAUGUUGCACGUGUAUAUCGCGUCAGGAUAUCAAUCAAUAUGAAAUAUAUUAAAAGAGAAUAAAUUAUUAAAAAAAUGAGUAAAUGUACUAUUUUCAUUCUGAAUUAUAAACGAAAUUAUUGAGACACACCCCAACUUAAAGGGGGUCCUAUUACCCCCUGGACUAAUUAAGACCUAUUUUUGACAACUUUAAGUGCCUACAUGGACCUUCAGUAUGUUGAUUCACACAGUGUGCCACGUAGGCUUAAGGUUGCCAAAAAUAGGAUUUUAAUUAGUCCAGGGAGUAAUAUGACCCCCUUUAAGUUGAAGUGUGUCUUAACAAUUUCUUUUAUAGUUUAGAGUUAAAAUAGUGCAUUUUCUCUUAAAAAUUUACAACUGACUUUAAAAAUGCUAUAAUAUUCUUUUUCCUUAAUUUCAAUAAUUAAAAGUAAAAUUUAAAACUCUUGUUUGUAAAUCAAAUUGAAUAAUUUAGAGUUGCAAGCUAGAUAUUGUUACAAUUUUUAUUUGGACUCCAACAUUAAAAAAUGCAUUGAUCAGAUUUUUUAUGGGCUUUGAGACUUCUGAUAUUUCGUCUUAAUGUGAACUCUUAAGUUUUUGUAUCUUUUCUCUUUCGAAAGUAUUAAUGAUUCAAAUUUUGUAUCUUCCUUUUGUCAAAUUAAAGUUGCACCAUGAUUUACGUGUCAUCAAAAUAUAGUGAAUUUGAAUAACACGAAAACACGAUUCUUUAGGACAUAGUAAAAUUAUUGCAUCUUCAAUUGUCCCAACUAAAUUUGAAUUCAUGUCAAAAAGUCCGCAUUGGAUGAAAAAAGUGUUCUCUAUCAAAAGUGAUGUAUCUAGAGGUAGUCAAACUCAAAAUUUCUAAUUAAAGAUAAAAGAAUAGUUACUCUGCCACAACCCUUAUUGAUAAUGUUAAUAUACCAUAAAUAAACCACCAAAUAGAUUCAGUAAUCAAGACGCUUUGGCAUAUUAAUACCUUAGUGUCAUAAAGGUUCUACAUGAAAGAUAAAUAAGAAUUCACAUAGAAAAAAAAAAUUAGACGCUUAGAUCAUAACAAAGGGAAACAAAAUAAAAUAAAUCAAACUAAAGCUUCGAACUUUACGAACCCGACAAGUGACACGAACACAUAAUUAGUAUCGAGAUUAUUUGAUCGGAGUCUACCAACUUUAGUUCGUUAUAACAUGUAUAUGUAGUCAAUGAGUACAUUCUUUUUUAAGAAAAUUGCAUAAAUUAUUUAAACAAUAAUUUUAAAUUAUAGAAUAGAAAAUAAAUAAAAUAUGUGUAAGUUCCAAAAGUAAGAAAAGAAGAACAAUAAAGUAAGAAAAAAAAGGUC